rnacentral:rRNA from 1 species
CCUACGGGCGGCAGCAGUGGGGAAUAUUGGACAAUGGGGGCAACCCUGAUCCAGCCAUGCCGCGUGUGUGAAGAAGGCCCUCGGGUUGUAAAGCACUUUCAGUGAGGAAGAACGCCUGGUGGUUAAUACCCAUCAGGAAAGACAUCACUCACAGAAGAAGCACCGGCUAACUCCGUGCCAGCAGCCGCGGUAAUACGGAGGGUGCGAGCGUUAAUCGGAAUUACUGGGCGUAAAGCGCGCGUAGGUGGCUUGAUAAGCCGGUUGUGAAAGCCCCGGGCUCAACCUGGGAACGGCAUCCGGAACUGUCAAGCUAGAGUGCAGGAGAGGAAGGUAGAAUUCCCGGUGUAGCGGUGUAAUGCGUAGAGAUCGGGAGGAAUACCAGUGGCGAAGGCGGCCUUCUGGACUGACACUGACACUGAGGUGCGAAAGCGUGGGUAGCAAACAGGAUUAGAUACCCCUGUAGUC